AACAUACCUAAACGUUGCUUCGGCGGGAACAGACGGCCCUGUGAAACGGGCCGCCCCCGCCAGAGGACCCCUAACUCUGUUUCUAUAAUGUUUCUUCUGAGUAAAACAAGCAAAUAAAUUAAAACUUUCAACAACGGAUCUCUUGGCUCUGGCAUCGAUGAAGAACGCAGCGAAAUGCGAUAAGUAAUGUGAAUUGCAGAAUUCAGUGAAUCAUCGAAUCUUUGAACGCACAUUGCGCCCGCCAGUAUUCUGGCGGGCAUGCCUGUUCGAGCGUCAUUACAACCCUCAGGCCCCCGGGCCUGGCGUUGGGGAUCGGCGGAGCCCCCCGUGGGCACACGCCGUCCCCCAAAUACAGUGGCGGUCCCGCCGCAGCUUCCAUCGCGUAGUAGCUAACACCUCGCGACUGGAGAGCGGCGCGGCCACGCCGUAAAACACCCAACUCUUCUGAA
rnacentral:misc_RNA from 1 species